GGUCCGCCCGCAAGGGCCGAUACACAGGUGCUGCUUGGCUGUCGUCAGCUCGUGUCGUGAGAUGUUGGGUUAAGUCCCGCAACGAGCGCAACCCCUGUGUUUAGUUGCCAGCAUUUAGUUGGGCACUCUAAACAGACUGCCGACGUUAAGUCGGAGGAAGGUGGGGAUGACGUCAAGUCCUCAUGGCCUUUAUAUCUAGGGCUACACACGUGCUACAAUGGUCGGUACAGAGGGAAGCAAAGCCGCGAGGUAGAGCAAAUCCCAGAAAGCCGAUCUAAGUUCGGAUCGUAGUCUGCAACUCGACUACGUGAAGCUGGAAUCGCUAGUAAUCGUGGAUCAGCACGCCACGGUGAAUACGUUCCCGGGCCUUGUACACACCGCCCGUCACACCAUGAAAGUUGGUUUUAUCAGAAGUCGUCCUACUAACCGCAAGGAGGUAGGCGCCCAAGGUAUAACUGAUGAUUGGGGUGAAGUCGUAACAAGGUAGCCGUAGGGGAACC
rnacentral:rRNA from 1 species